rnacentral:rRNA from 1 species
CCUACGGGAGGCAGCAGUGAGGAAUAUUGGUCAAUGGGCGGGAGGCUGAACCAGCCAAGCCGCGUGAGGGAAGAAGGUACUGCGUAUCGUAAACCUCUUUUGUCAGGGAGCAAAGGCGGGGACGAGUCCCCGGAUGAGGGUACCUGAAGAAAAAGCAUCGGCUAACUCCGUGCCAGCAGCCGCGGUAAUACGGAGGAUGCGCGCGUGAUCCGGAUUUAUUGGGUUUAAAGGGUGCGCAGGCGGCCUGGUAAUUCAGUGGUAAAAUCCCGGGGCUCAACCCCGGCGUGCCGUUGAAACUGGCGUGCUGGAGUUGGAGAGAAGUACGCGGAAUGCGCGGUGUAGCGGGGAAAUGCUUAGAUAUCGCGCAGAACCCCGAUUGCGAAGGCAGCGUACCGGCUCCACACUGACGCUGAGGCACGAAAGCGUGGGUAUCGAACAGGAUUAGAUACCCGGGUAGUC